AUUGAACGCUGGCGGCAUGCUUUACACAUGCAAGUCGAACGGCAGCGCGGGCUUCGGCCUGGCGGCGAGUGGCGAACGGGUGAGUAAUACAUCGGAACGUGCCCAGUAGUGGGGGAUAGCUCGGCGAAAGCCGGAUUAAUACCGCAUACGACCUGAGGGUGAAAGCGGGGGAUCUUCGGACCUCGCGCUAUUGGGGCGGCCGAUGGCAGAUUAGCUAGUUGGUGGGGUAAAGGCCUACCAAGGCGACGAUCUGUAGCUGGUCUGAGAGGACGACCAGCCACACUGGGACUGAGACACGGCCCAGACUCCUACGGGAGGCAGCAGUGGGGAAUUUUGGGCAAUGGGCGAAAGCCUGAUCCAGCAAUGCCGCGUGUGUGAUGAAGGCCUUCGGGUUGUAAAGCACUUUUGGCGGGAACGAAAAGGACUGUGCCAAUACCACGGUUCGAUGACGGUACCCGCAGAAUAAGCACCGGCUAACUACGUG
rnacentral:rRNA from 1 species